UAUAUAUAUAUAUAUAUAUAUAUAUAUAUAUUCUCAACCUUUUCUUCUUCUUCUUUCUUUCUCUACAAAUUUAAUUUCAUUCCAACAUUCCAUUGUUUGCUUUCACAAUAUCAAAGUUAAAAGACUGCUACUCUUUACAAGCAUUACAUUACAGUAGUAAUCAAAAACAUCUUCAAACCACAAUUUCAACUACAUUACAUUACACUACUACUACUUGGUUUGGCAUAAAUAAUACACGUCGUUGCAAUUCUAUACCCAUUCUUUCUUUUUCUGUUUCGUACCAACAUACUUCUUCCAUACAUAUAGUUUUUUUUUUUAAUUGAUUUGAAAAUAAAAAGCUCUAAUUCAAAAUCUAUAAUUAUAUAUAUAUUUCUUUGACCAGGUUGGGCGGAGGUUGGAUUGGAGGCCGCGGGCUUCAGAUCUUGUUCGUGGGCGACGGGACUUGGACUGGUCGGCGAACUGCUGCUAGAGGUUUUCUUCAAAACUAUAAUCUCUAUGCAAUGAAAUCAGUUUCACAGGUUGUGUAUGCUACUUAAGGGCCAGAAUAAACAAGUGUUAAUGCAGUUGUAAUCUGCUGCAACAUCCAGGAGUAAGUUUGGGAUACAAGUAUUGCUAAUCAUGAUUCAUUGUAUAGUUUUAUGGAGGAAUCAUACCCCAAUUUCGUAGUUCUUGCUGGUGGUUCAUAGUUUUGUUGUUGCGGCUGGCUAAGCUGGAGAUCAAUUUGCUUCAUUGACAUCCCUUGUUCCAUACCUAGACCGUGUGAUUCCUCUCUCAUCCCCAAAUCUUCUGUCAGUAGAGGAAUUCUAUUUGCUUCAUUGACAUCCCUCGUUCCAUAGACCUAGUAGGUGAAAUGUUUCCACUGAGGGUUGCUAUAAAACAUCUCACUACUUUAUUUAAGAAUCUUAGAGAGAUUUUUAUGUUUUCACAAUUAAUGUUUGUCUUAAUUGUUUAAAUGAAUACCUUCUCAUACAAUUCCAUGUUUUCUUGGCGAAUUAGGUUUACCUUCUUAUAUAGAUCAAUGUUUUCUUGGUGAA